UACGGAGGGUGCAAGCGUUGUCCGGAAUCACUGGGCGUAAAGGGCGCGUAGGCGGCUCGGUAAGUAGGGGGUGAAAUCCUGUGGCUUAACCGCAGGGCUGCCUUCUAAACUGUCGAGCUUGAGCACGGUAGAGGCAGAUGGAAUUCCCGGUGUAGCGGUGGAAUGCGUAGAGAUCGGGAAGAACAUCAGUGGCGAAGGCGGUCUGCUGGGCCGUUGCUGACGCUGAGGCGCGACAGCGUGGGGAGCAAACAGG
rnacentral:rRNA from 1 species